GAUGAACGCUGGCGGCGUGCCUAAUACAUGCAAGUCGAGCGAACGGACGAGAAGCUUGCUUCUCUGAUGUUAGCGGCGGACGGGUGAGUAACACGUGGAUAACCUACCUAUAAGACUGGGAUAACUUCGGGAAACCGUAGCUAAUACCGGAUAAUAUUUUGAACCGCAUGGUUCAAAAGUGAAAGACGGUCUUGCUGUCACUUAUAGAUGGAUCCGCGCUGCAUUAGCUAGUUGGUAAGGUAACGGCUUACCAAGGCAACGAUGCAUAGCCGACCUGAGAGGGGGAUCGGCAACACUGGAACUGGGCAACGGCCCAGACUCCUACGGGAGGAGGCAGUAGGGAAUCUUCCGAAAUGGGCGAAAGCCUGCCGGAGCAACGCCGCGUGAGUGAUGAAGGUCUUCGGAUCGUAAAACUCUGUUAUUAGGGAAGAACAUAUGUGUAAGUAACUGUGCACAUCUUGACGGUACCUAAUCAGAAAGCCACGGCUAACUACGUG
rnacentral:rRNA from 1 species